rnacentral:rRNA from 1 species
GGCUCCUUGUGGGAAAUAAAUAAGGAGUCGGACCUGCCCGGUGAAUUUUUUUAACGGCCGCGGUACUCUGACCGUGCAAAGGUAGCAUAAUCAUUUGCCUUAUAAUUGAAGGCUAGUAUGAAUGGUUUGACAAGAAUGUAACUGUCUCUUUUAGAUUUUAUAGAAUUUUAUUUAAAGGUGAAGAAGCCUUUAUUAGAUUAAAAGACAAGAAGACCCUAUCGAGCUUGAAAAUAGUAAAAGGAUUAAAAAUUAAUAAAGCUAGAAAAUUUGCCAUUAAUAAUUUUAGUUGGGGCGACUGAGGAACACAAAAAGCUUCCUUUAAAAAAUUUAAAUAUUUACAAAUAUUUGAUCCAAAGAUUUUUGAUUAAAGAAAUUAGUUACCGUAGGGAUAACAGCAUUAUCUCUUUUAAGAGUUCUUAUCGAAAAGGGGGUUUGUGACCUCGAUGUUGGACCAGAAUGUCCUGAAGAUGCAGCAGUCUUUAAGGGUUGGUCUGUUCGACCAUUAAAAUUCUACG